rnacentral:lncRNA from 10 species
AGGUCCCUCCAUACCUCAUCUCAAUUAACUCACUCACCAGGAGCCAGGUCCCUCCAUAACUGAUCUCAAUUAACUCACUCACCAGGAGCCAGGUCCCUCCAUACCUGACCUCAAUUAACUCACUCACCAGGAGCCAGGUCCCUCCAUACCUCACUCACCAGCAGCCAGGUCCCUCCAUACCUCAUCUCAAUUAACUCACUCACCAGGAGCCAGGUCCCUCCACACAGAGUCUCAAUUAACUCACUCACCAGGAGCCAAGUCCCUCCAUACCUGAUCUCAAUUCACUCACUCACCAGGAGCCAGGUCCCUCCAUACCUCAUCUCAAUUAACUCACUCACCAGGAGACAGGUCCCUCCACACCUCAUCUCAAUUCACUCACUCACCAGGAGCCAGGUCCCUCCAUACCUCAUCUCAAUUAACUCACUCACCAGGAGCCAGUCCUCUCCAUACCUGAUCUCAGUUACCUCACUCACCAGUAGCCAGGCCUCUCCAGACCUGGCUUAAUUCUCACUAUACUUAAUUCAAUUAAUUCUCACUAUAGCCCUAUCAGACAAACUCUAGGAUACACAUGAGGAUACAGAGUCUCAGAAAGGCUGAGAAAGUGGCUUGAGGUCACCUAGGUGGUAAGUGGUAGAGCUAGGAGUUGAAGUCAAGUCUGACUCUCAAGUCCACGCUCUUUCCAUUGCACUAUCUGCUUUUCUUUCUCCCCAAAGCCACAAUAUGCCACGAUGCGGCCCAAGGCCUCUCCUCCAGUACCGUGCUGAGGGCUCUGAACAGAUCAGGGCUGAAGCCAAGAUGUCAUCCAGUGCAAUACCCACAUGACCUCCGUGAAUAUCUACCCUGCCUUAACACUGUUUAUCUUUAGGAAGCAGGAUGCCUGAGGUCCAAACUUCUCCCUGGUGAUCAAACCAGCUAAGACUGAUGGAAUCCAAGAUGGCAGCUCAUUUGACCUCUAACUUCAUUAUAAUCUAAUUUCCAUGUUAAAUGACAGUCCCACUAACACCGUAACAGUCAACAACCAACAUGACAAUGAUGGGAAAAAAUAACAUAAAAAAACAAAUAGGAAGGUGGCACUCUGGUUUUGAAAAUUUCUCCACCCAGACCCAGAAAACACAUGAUUCCUCCCCUUGCUUUUUUCAUUUUUAUUUUUGUAGAGAUGGGGGUGUAUCACUAUGUUGACCAGGAUGGUCUCGAACUCCUGGUCUCAGCAAUCCUCUCAUUUUGGCCUCCCAAAGUUCUGGGUUUAUGGGAGUGAGCCAUUGCACCUGGCCACUCCUCCCCUUGCUUUUAAUGCUCAGCCCCUUCACUAAAGAUGCCCUGUAUCUGUGACUUCCUGGGUCUCACGAGCAGAAAAGUUGAUUUGUGAGCCAAGCUCUCACUUCUCAAUUCCAUGGCCACCAAAUAAAGCCUGCACUGCUUGAGGCUCACUUUCGGUUUUGCAUAUUGGCUUCAUGGCACCAAACAGGGAAAGACCCCAUUUUAGGGAAAGUGGCUUUGUCAGUAACAAGGACACAGAAGGAAAGAAAUGGAGGAUGAUUUAGGGCAGAAGUCAGCAAACUAUGGUCUAUGGGCCAAAUCUGGCCACUGCCUGUUUUUGUGCAACUCAUAGGCUAAGAAUGUUUUCUACAUUUUUAGAUGGUAGGAGAAGAACAAAAGAGGAAGAAUGUUUUGUCACAAAAGUAUAUGAGAUUCAAAUUUCAGUGUCCACAGACGGCAAUCCUGGCUCCUACCCCUAAAACAAUCAUUGCAGUGGAGCUCUGCCCUAGCUACGGCCCCUUUCUUCUUUUGGUUCCCUGACUUUGGGGCCUGGAGGGCACAAAGGCAAGGAGCAGGCUGCCAUCCACCCCUUCUCAGAGAACCUGCAGGGAGCUCACCAUGCUCUGCAUCCAGUCUAGGUGGC